UGCAUUGAACUUAAGAUUCAAAUAUAAGUAUUUUUAAACUUUUAUUAAAA
rnacentral:tRNA from 1 species